GCUUUUGGGAUGCAUUCUGUACAGUAAUGUUGACUCUUGUAAAACCAUCACUGGGCAAAGUGUGUCUCAAAAU
rnacentral:pre_miRNA from 13 species